AUACGGAGGGUGUAAGCGUUAAUCGGAAUUACUGGGCGUAAAGCGUACGUAGGCGGUUCGUUAAGUUAGAUGUGAAAGCCCCGGGCUUAACCUGGGAACUGCAUUUAAAACUGGCGAACUAGAGUUGAGUAGAGGGGAGUGGAAUUUCAGGUGUAGCGGUGAAAUGCGUAGAGAUCUGAAGGAACACCAGUGGCGAAGGCGACUCCCUGGACUCGAACUGACGCUGAGGUACGAAAGCGUGGGUAGCAAACGGGAUUAGAAACCCCAGUAGUCC
rnacentral:rRNA from 1 species